CCUCGCCUUGCUGCUGCUUCUCUCCUCACGCCCCCUACUGCUGCUCCCUUCCCUACCUUGCUGUUGUUGCUCUCUUUCUACCUCUCUAUCUUCUCUGAAUUUUCUGUAAUAGGAGAUGUGUAAUGCUUUGUAAUAUUCAGAUUUUAAGAGUGCUGCCAACCUGUAUCUUGUUCUGUUUGGUAGUUGUAAUAUAUAAUGCUUGACUUAUAUAAUGCUCUGUGAUUGAGUAAUCUGCUAGUAUAAUUGUGUGUUCACCUUGUUUACUAGUCCCUGUGCUAGUUAACUUUGCACGUGUUUGAUUUUCAGUCCUUGUGUUAGCUCCAACACGUGUGAUAUAUAUAUACAUGUGUGUGUGCGUGUGAUGUGAUAUGUUCAUGUUCUAUCCUAAAACCUUGUUUCUUCCUCCAUGUUAUAUAUAUGAUCAUGCCCUUUUUUUUAAUUCCCUAGCCGUUUGAAGAUUGCUUGUGUUAGCAUUUUAUAUUUCUCAUGUAAAACGAAAAUACCAAAAAUAUAAUUGAAGAUAAUCUGAACCUCCUUUGCCCUUUUUGCAUUUUCUUUGGUGAUGAUCUUUGGGUACAACCUUGUUUUGUGUAGGUUUAUUUUCUUGCAUUCAUAAUCUGAAUUGUGUUACCUAGCUUUAGCCAAGCACGAUUAUCGAUUUGCCUAGUCCCUGAGGAGAACACGACACUCGUAGUUUGGGGCGUAAAAACCCCGCUAUACUUUCAAUUGAUCAUUUUGGCGCCGUUGCCGGGGACUAGCGUCGUGUGACUGUGUUAGGCUAUAGACUAGGUUUUUCUUCUUUUUCUAGUUUGUGCCAUAUAUUUGUGAUAUAUCUCUAACCACUAACCCCUGUUCUAGUUAGUAUCUUUUUUUGUUUUCUUUUCCUUUUUGCAGGUUAGAACUAUCUUCUCGGUUAUGGCUUACUAUUCAGAUCAUCAGGCUUAUGCGAGCAACACUACAAACAGCAUGGAAAGUAUUCAAGAACUGAUAAGUAAGAUUUCCCAUCAAUUAGAUGAUUUAGCUCAGCAGCGAGGAGUAGUUUUUGAGGAUAGGCCUAGUUCUUAUUAUCCUUAUUCCGGAGGCAAUCCUUAUGUUGCUCCUACAUGCCAUAUUUGUGGAUUUCAGGGCCAUUUGCCCGCUGAAUGUCAGCGUGGUUACUCUCACACUCCAGAUUGUUUUGGCAUGAGCUUCGCUCAAGAGCAUAGCUCAUACCAAAACAAUUACUCACAUGGGUGGCCUGAAAACCCGAAUAUGUCAUAUAGGAGCAACAACCCUGAGAUCUCACUGUUUGCCUCUAGUUAUCCAAUGCAGGGAUUUAGGUAUGAAGAGGAGAGCCACAACUAUGCUCCACAACAGUCGUAUUUAGCUCCUAUUCAUAUACCUCAGCACCAGGAGAUGUUGCCAAUGGAGUUAAAUGGUCCUCCAUUUGGUCAACCAACACCUCAAGUGCCUACUCAAGAUGAGUUCGAUGACAUAGACAAGCUCGCACUUUUGAGUCUCGGGUUCACUUGGAGUGCCGAGGAUGAUCCUAUUAGGAAGGUUAUACUAGAUGAAAUGAAGAAGAUCAAGAGUGGGAAUGAGCUAGUGGAAGAAGUAAAGAAGAUUGAGAAGAACAUCAACGCUGGCAGUACUAUUUCUUCACAGCUUGAGCUGAGUAAUUCUGGGAUUCCCCUUGAUACAUGUGAGGUUCCAAUACCGUCACAUCCAGCUGAGCAAGAUAGCAAGUGCCUUGAGCAUGAGAUACCCCAGAUUGAAGAAGAUGAACUAGAAGACAAGGAACAAGAUGAUCAAGAUCUGCAAUUCCCAAGUGAUCAAGUUGAAGACUCGUCAUCUACUACUCCUGAAGAAGUACAAGAAGCUGCUGUAGAUGAAGAUGAAGAACCUGAGAUUCAUUGGCCUAUUGUCAUACAUGAGUGUGAUGUGUCAGGUUUACCCAAUCCUCUUGAUGACAUGCUCCCUUGUGAUUUCUUUGCUUCUAACUUGCAUUGCAUGAUGCCAUCACUUAAGGUAGAUUUGAAAAACUAUUUGCUUGGACAUGAUCAUACACACCCUGUUAGUGUCAUUACUCUCAUUUGUGAUGAUCACAGUUACUUUCCUCGUGCUAGUUCUAUGCUUAAUGAAACAUAUCAUUCCCAUGAUAGUCUGGAGCUUAAUGAUACAUAUCAUCCUCAUGUUAGCAUUGAGCUUACUGAUUUCUACCAUCCUAAACAUGUGCUUUAUAGCUAUGCUUAUGUAAUUGGAUAUUCGAUUGAUGACUUGGAGGGUAUUAUCCCUACCACUUGCAUUGUCUCUUUCAUUGAGUGCUCUUUCAGGUUCUUGCUUGUGCACGAUCCACUACAUGCUUGCCAAGUUCGAGAUGACAUUCCCUGGGACCCUGGUGGACCUAUGGCAUGGGGAUGAGGAGAAGCAAGGAGCACACAUGAAGAGAGAAGCUGGAGCAGGCAUGAGGAUAGAGAAGCAAAAAGAGAAGAGUUGCAGUUCAGAGAGUGAUUGUGCGAGACCUACAUCAUAUAAGCCCGGUGAGCUGUUUCAUGACCCAUUCUGAGUAUAUCAUCCAUUGAUACAUGCUGAAAUCAAAUGUUAUUUGGGUUGCUUAAGCCAUGUCUUAAAUGUUGCCCCACUGAAUUUUAUUUGACAUAUGGUGCUUGAUGAGAAUAUGCAAACUGAUUGUUGAAUGCCGUGUAAACUAGUGAUCUACAUAUUGCUUGCUUUGCUGAAAUUAGUGAAAGUUAUUAGUUUUGAGUGCUCAAAUCCCUAGUACACUAGAAAACUUAAUCAUUUUCUGCUUUUACCUCGAUACACCUAGAUCAUUAAGUGUCAGAUGCUGAGUUUGUGCCUAAUGUGUUCCCAUUGAGAGCAAUCACCUAACCACUAUGGAUUAGCAUGCGAUGUUCCCUGGAUCGGUAGCAUGUGAACCAGACAUGGAGAAGUGAUGAUUCCUAUUUUUGUGCUUAUGCGUUGUUCAUUUAAGAUAAGUAAUAAUGAAUAAAUAAGUCUGACUACCUACAGUAGCAUGUCAUGUUCCCGGGAUCGGUGGCAUGUGAAAUCGGGUGCUUGGGGAGUAAUUAAUAAUAAAAAAUGUAAUUGUCGAACCAGGUGUAUACCAUGUUCUCGGGAUCGGUGGUAUGUUCCUUUGGGGAGACAAACAAAAAAAACUAAUAAUUGGUCGAUCCAGUUGUAUACCAUGUUCUCGGGAUCGGUGGUAUGUUCCUUUGGUGAGAUCGAUAAUACGUUAUCAUUGCCUUACUUCUGUAAAUAAGUGAUUUGAUCACAAGUUUAUGUUCUUUUUUGUGCUCGGGAUCAUGCUCUCUUUAGUAACCUUUGGCACAAUCAUCACUUGAACUUGUUGAUCCACUUUUAUCAUUGUAAAAGUUUAAAAUGAUUGAGUCUACUAGUCUCCUAUUGCUUUGUAGCACUCUUGACCAUUGAUUUGCACUAGCUAAGUCCAAAGCAUGCAUUGUUUAGAGAUCUACUUCACUUGGCAUUCUCUAGUCAGCUCACUAUUCACUAUCUUGCUCUUUUCAUAUGCCUUUACUUGAGGACAAGUAAAGAUUUAAGUGUGGGGGAACUUGAUAAGUGCAUUUCAUAUAUAUUAUUGGCACUCAAAUUUAGCAUCUAUCGUGAUAUAUCCAUCCAUUCUUGCUAUGAAUUGUGAUAUAUUUGAAUGAAAAUCAUAUAAAAGAUCAUUUACUCGUUACUUGUUUCUUUUGCAGAAAAGUGCGAUGAGGCACUAUAAUCGUCAAGAGUCCAUCCAUGUGGCUAUUGAGAAGAGAGAAGGGCAGGAAAGAAGUGAAGAAAGGGACAUGAGCAUCAAGGAAAGAAGAAACCGGGGGCCAAAACUUAAGAUGGAGGGGAUCUACUUGGGAAGAAAGAAGGAAAGGAGAAGGGCCAAAUCAGAAAAGUGGCAGACUAGAGGAGGGGUCAAAUCCUAGCAGCAGCCCCGAUCCCCUUUGGGCCUGGCUACUCAACUCUCUCCCUCACACCCCCUUCUCCACCUCCGGCCGCCGCCGCGGCCAGGUCGGCGUGGCGGCGCGCCACCAGCACCUCCCACCACAUCACCACCUUGGGCCAUCCACCAGCGUGUCACAUCCCUAGCUUCUGGUAAUGCACUAGGCUAGACCUCUUGUGAGCAUCAUGUUUUAUUUCAAAUGAAAUUUGAAUUGAGGAUUUUUCAAAGCCUCAGAAACCUCAAAAAAAAUAACCAACAAUUAAAUCUUCUCAAAUGUGUCCAAGAAAAUGUUCCUGUUAUUCCAUGGAAAUAUUGGUGAGAGGUAAAAUUUAAACCAAUAUUUUUGGAGUCACAGAGAUAAUUAUUUUGGUCAUUUGUUUUAAUCCAAUAACUAUUUGCUUUGGAUUUAUAUUUAAUAUAUAUUAAAUAUGACUCCAAUAAUUCUGGAAGUUUGUGAGUGGCUUUGUAUAUAUUUUAGCAAGCCACAUAAAAAUCUACAGAAUUUAUUUAAAUGAUUUAGUUGCUAAACUAAAUCAAAACAAAUUACAGAAAAUAGAAAACACUAAAUAAAAAUAAAAGAACAGAAGCCUACCUGGCGCUUACCUGUCCAGCCCAGCCGGCCCAGCUCCUCCCGCUGGCCCAGCCCACCACCGCCUCCCUCCCCUGUCGCCUUCCUCCUCUGCCAGGAGGACGGGCACGCGCCCGGCGCGCGCGGCCACGUGCCCCGGCCACCUCCUCCCUGCCUGGCUGCCUCCUCCUCCCCUGGUCCCUCCCGCGACGCCACGCAGCCCCCGACCCCUCCUCUCACUUCCCCUCUCCCUCUGGAUCGCUCCCCCUCCCCUGUCUCUCUCUUUCCCUCUCUUCCUGUGAUCCCCGAGCGCACCGCAGCACGCUGCCAAGCACCACCGCGGCCACCGCUUUCCCCUCGCCUCUCCGACGCGCCCCCGAGCUCUGCCGUGACGUUCCCGUCCCUACCACGGAGCCACAAGACGCCGGACGCCCUGGAGCGCCGUCACUGACGCCAUCUUCUUCCUCUGCACCGACGGCCGUCGUCGCUUGAUUCGCCGGCCACAGAGCGUCCCCGGCCUCGCCCUCGCGCUCGUUGGACUCGCGGUGAGCCACUGAACCGUUCCCCUCUUCUUCCCAUGCCGUUGGGCCGCUCUAGCCAUUGCUUCCGCCGGACCCGAGAGCUCGCCGCCGCCGUGCCUCGUCACCACCGUGGCUAGAGCCGUUGCAGCUCGAAGCCGAGCACACCACCGCACUCAACACGUCUCCAGGAGCCCGUAGCCGCCACUAGCUUCCCCUCCCGUGCCCCCGAACGCCAACCCCGACCUCGCCCGAGCUCCGGCUGCCGCCUCGCUCGCUGCCGUUGCUGAUUCCGGCCACCCCCGCACCUUCCGUUGGUCCCCCUAGAUGCGCACGGGCGCGGGCUACCUCCUGGUGCCCUUGGCGCAUCGAUCCGAUGCCCCUAGCGCAAGUCCGGCGUGCCCCGCCGUGUCCUGUGGUCGCCGCCGGCUGGUCUCCGGUGACGCCGACGUGGCGCACUUACUUAGUCGCUAAUGACCAUGCUAAACACCCCCACAGACACUGACAGCGGGCCCCGUAGCGGGUCAAAGCCCGAGUCAACGCGGGAUUAGCCCCUGUGUCACUGACGUGUGGACCCCACACGUCAGGUUUGACCUUGACCGGCCCGGUUGACCCUGCUGACGUCACUGUGACGUGGUGCUGACGCCAUAAUCAUUUCUGGAUUUAAUUUAAUUCUGAAAUUCCAGAAAAUGCCUAAAACUUCAAUAAAUCAUAGAAAAUUAACCGUAGCUCCAAAUUAAAUAAUUUAUAUAUGAAAAAUUAUCAGAAAAAUUCAAGGAAUCCAUCUGUACCAUUUUCAUGCAUGUUAGAACAACUUAUCACUACUGUUUUGGACAAAUGAAGUGAAUGACAUUUAAAUAACCACAUAUGGAGUUUGAAUUUGAAUCUUGGAUUCAAACCAACUUCAUUUAAUCUGGUUUUAGGUGCAUUAGCCCAAAACACAUUCAUUUUGCCAUGUCAUGAUCAUGCAUCAUAUUGUGCAUUGCAUUGAUUGUGUUCCCUUCUGUGUUGCCGGUAUUUGUCCCCUCUCGAUAGACGUGAUACCGAUGAUGUGAUCGUUGACACCGAUGAAGACUCAAUGUUAUCUUCAGAAGUGCCAGGCAAGCAAAACCCCCUUGUUCAUUCCGAUAAAAUCCCACUCUCUCGCUCCUGCUCUCUUUUACUGCAUUAGGACAACAACGACAUAUUUGAUACUUGCUGCGGUAGCUGAACCCCUUUAUCCUUUGCAUGACCUGUCAUUGCCACAGUAAAUAGAUGAAACCCACUAGCAUGAGUAGGAGUUGUUUGAGCCAUGAUGUGCCUACUCAAUCAUGUUUGUUCGUCAUGCCUGCUACUGCUUAGAGUUGAGUCAGGUCUGAUUCAUCGGGGAUGAAUCAGAGGCGUGUGAACAUGUCCUACUGUGUGUGAACUAAGUGUGUGAACACGAUUUGGUAAAGGUAGCGGUGAGAGGCCAUGUAGGAGUACAUGGUGGGUUGUCUCAUUGCAACCGUCCUCAGGAACUGAGUUCUGUGUUUGUGAUCGAUGAACAGCUACUACCACACAUUGGGAUCCUUAAUUGACUCUCUCGACUUAUUAAUCAACAUGAUCUCUGUCCAGGAGUUGCAACUAGUUUCUGGUGUUUGUAGGUAGUGUUAGUAGUCUACCAAGUGGCACCCGGUACAGGUGGGCUUGGGACAGACUAGGCACAGUGGCCCGGUGUACCAAGUGGCACCCGGUUGGUGGGCUUGGGAACCCUGCACACAUCGUUUGGGGCCGUAAGCGACACCCCGGCCGGAUCUCCUUGCGGAUGGAACCCGAAUAGGCGAUAAACCUGGACUAGAGACUUGUCCGGUUAGUCAGGUCGUGGCCGACUCCCUCUCCCGGCUUCCGCUUGAAGGUUGCCGAGGUACAUGACGUGUACAGGGCGGUAAGUGGCGGGAGCGUGUGUGAAGAAGUACACCCCUGCAGGGUUAUCAUUAUCUAUUCGAAUAGCCGGAUUCCUCGGAUAUGGAAACUUGGACCCCUUGCAUAGUUCAUAGACAAGUGAAAGUGGAUACUCUAAAAUACGCAAGAUAAGCGUGAGUGCUAUGGAUGGCGUUCUCGUAGGGAGACGGGAGCGGAUCCAUAGUGGUGUAUUGAUAUGGUGAAUAUGUGGACUCGUGUGCGCCACCUCAAAAGAGUUACUUGCAGUCGUAGUUCAGGAUAGCCAUCGAGUCAAAGCUGGCUUGCUGCAGUUAAACCCCUCCAUCCCCUUUGUUGAUAAUGAUGCAUAUGUAGUUAGUUCUGAUGUAAGUCUUGCUGGGUACAUUUGUACUCACGUUUGCCUAUUUUAUGUUUUUGCAGAGAGACUUCGGUCUCGCUAGUAGUUUCACGUGGACUUCGACGUUUAGCUUGUUACCUCAGCUACGAUCUUGUGCCCUCGGUAGGAUCUGAUAGAUAGUCAGGCUUCUCAGCCUUUUUCAUUUAUAGAUGUCUGUACUCAGACAUGAUAGCUUCCGCUUGUGCUUUGACUGGUAUGCUCUGAAUGUUGGGUCGUGAGACCCCUGUUUGUAAUAUCUCGCUCCUCGGAGCCUAUUGAAUAAAUUACUUGAGUCGUAGAGUCAUGUUGUGAUGUCGUGUUGUAGUUGCACAUAUCGAGCAUAUUGUGUGUAUGUUAUUGAAAUGCUUGGUAUGUGUGGGAUCUGACCAUCUAGUUGUUUAUCUUUAGUAGUCUCUCUUACGGGGAAAUGUCUCCUAGUGUUUCCACCGAGCCAUGGUAGCUUGCUACUGCUCCGGAACACUUAGGCUGGCCGGCAUGUGUCCUUCUUCGUUCCUGUGUCUGUCCCUUCGGGGAAAUGUCACGCGAUGAAUACCGGAGUCCUGUUAGCCCGCUACAGCCCAGUUCACCGGAGUCCUGCUAGCCAGUGCUACAGCCUGGUUUCACUCGCUGAUGACCGACACGUUCGAUGCUGGGUCAUGGAUGCCUGUCCCUGUAAGUCUGUGCCACUUUGGGUUUACGACUAGCCAUGUCAGCCCGGGCUCCUUAUCAUAUGGAUGCUAGCGACACUGUCAUAUACGUGUGCCAAAAGGCGCAAACGGUCCCGGGCUAAGGUAAGGCGACACCCGUGGGAGUACCGUGCGUGAGGCCGCAAAGUGAUAUGAGGUGUUACAUGCUAGAUCGAUGUGGCAUUGAGUCGGGGUCCUGACAGCGUUGGUAUCAGAGCUUGACUGCCUGUAGGAUUACCAAGCCAAACUGGUCGAAGUUGAGUCUAGAAAUUCUUUAGUUAUAUAAGGGAAUUGAUUGUGGGAUGGAACGUAAGGCUCUUUUUACUCCUUAUACCUCAUGCCCUUCUGAUCUGAGUCAUUUUAUCUUUACUACGGGGAUUAAGAACUAGGCCUUCUCUUCCUUCUAUCAGGAUCACGUAUCACUAGUCCAUAGACUUAUAAGAUUGUUCGAUUUAAGCUUGAGUCCAGUUCCUACUACUUCUGUAUGAUUAUUGUUGAUCUCGAGACCUUGAUAUUGUGCUUCUGAGUGGUUAUGCCACCAUUUUUGUGAAUGUCUCAAAUCUUUUCUGAGCAUUUACAGCCGUUAUGCUGUCCGAGUUAUUCCAGGUUUCUAAAUAGUCUGAUGCAUUUGCAAGAUCCUUUCCCUUUGGUUUCGAUGUUCCUUAAUGCCAGCCCAGCUUUUGAUUCUGUUCUACCCUGAAGUAUUACCGUCUUUAUGUCAGGAUUUUCAUGAGGAUUGCACCGGCUCUUGUGAAUUCUUGAUGUAGUGAUACUUCUCGCCAUCAUUAUCCAUCCCUCGGUUCCGUGUUAUCGCAACCGGAAUGCCGACAGGUGAAUCGUGAUGUGUGAAAUCAAUACUGCUAGCAACUCUGUUGCUUGGUAGUUAAAUGGACGAUAACCUCAUUCUUAGCGUGUUGAUUAUUGAAUCGUCACCCUAAGACUGAUUGUGCCACUUAGUCCUUGUUCGCGGUGCACUCCUCGAUCGAUGAGUUAGGAUUAUUUCAAAUCCUUGCUCUAUUGAUCAUAUCGUCUUGCCCUGAAAAGCAAGAUUGUUCUCGAGCUUAGUAACAUACCGGUGGUUCAUGAUUUUCUGAAUAUCUUCUCAGAAGUAUUACCAGGUUGUCACCUGACCGCUAUGUUGAGUUCGUGAUCAAGUUGGUUUAUUCCUGUAAACCACCCCUUCUCCAAGAAUUCGUGUUGGAUACCCUGAGCUAGUUGGAUAAGCUAAACAACAACUUGGAGAGUCGGAAGAUAAAAGCUUGUCCGACUUAGUUCAUGUUAAGGGAUAUCUUUUUGUGUGUGUGUGUGUGUUGAAGAAAGAUGAUAUCUUCAUCAAUUGGUCCUUGUGAACAAUUGUUGGAUCUAUUAUCUUACCCGAACCCUUGAUUGAGUAUGGGCUAUCGUCAAAUCAAAUCAGUACCAACGAUGCUCGUAAUGUUGUCUUGUUCGUGGUUGAUCCCUCGAGCAUACACCAUUACAUCCUUGGUCUGACCAAUGCUAUCACCGUGUUCACUUAACUAUGGAAUUCCUUUUAAAAGGAAACCUAGAUGAAUUGUUGUUGAGCCCAUUGACAACAUCCUUAUCUCCUCCAUGAUUUUGUUGAACAUUAAGCUAGUAUUGGAAACUUUUGAAAGCAUUUGUUCAUGCUAGCUCAUGAAGCAUAUGUUUGGAUGAAGGUAGUGACUUCCUUUAAUUCAUGUGCAUCUGAUGCAAGUUGCCGCCGUGGAUUCGAGAAAGUCAAUGUUGCUUUCUUUGGAAUCAUUCCAAAUCAGUCAUGCACACGUGCGAAGAAUGCUGUGGUUUGAAGACUUGCAACCUUCAAUCUAUAUGUGUCCCUGACACACCAAGCCACUGACUGAUUUGUUCAGGAAAAGGAGUUGAUGUGCUAAUCCUAGGUCAUGCACAAGACUUCAACAUCCUCGAUUAUGGUUCCCCACCUGAACUCGGUAGUGUUUUAUUGUAAGACUACUUUGUGGUCAUGCUUGUCUUGGACAACAUGUUCACAUGUUGUAGCAGAAUCGGCUCGUGUUUUUGGAGCUUACUAUCGUAGUUCAUUCCCCGAGAAUCUCGCAACGUCAUCUUGUCGAUUUGUGUUGCAAACUUCCGUUUUUCUUCCUAGACUCGAUGAGUCUGGAAUAUCCUAACACCUACCAGAUCGGAAUCUCAGGCAGAUAUGAUGGUUGGGGCAUUUCCCAAGAACUAUAAUAUUGGUCCCUCGAUAACCGGUAAAGUGGAUGUCGUGGCCAACACACCCAGCCGGAAGACCUGUUAUUAUAAUAUCUUGAUUGAGGAAGUUGGCCACCUCCCCAUAGGGAUUUCGUAGGAUUUACUCCCUAGUUGCCCCUAUGGAUUUUGAGAUCCCGAAGUCCGACCUUUACUUGAUGUUCUAGUUAGCAAACCAUAUCUAUGAUUGGGUUACACCAGCACAUCAAGGAGAACAUUAGAAGCGGAGUGCUAAAUGUCUCUCGGUCGAUCAUCCAGAUUUUAUUUCCUUGGCCCCGCCAAGGGUGAAAUCUGAGAAGGUGUUAUCUCCCUUUGCAUCUGCAUCCUCCAUCACCGUUCAUCAUGGUAGUAAGUUGUGUUACCGGACCCUUGACACGGAUGUUGGUAAAACCUUGAUGAAUAUGGAAAUGCUCAAGUUCUUGAGAGCACGCACAAGUGCUAGGUGUUAUCAUCGGCACUAACUGGGUUUGCUCUCAGUUCCCUCGGCAAUGCUAUGACCUAUUCAAACAGUGAAUUAACUCUCUAGUGUUGGGUUCUUUCCCAGUUACUAGAAUCAUUCCCAGCAUUUGCAUUUUGUUCCUAGCUUGCACCGCCAUUGUGCCAUUCUACCAUGGGUCUCUUCCAUUUCCGGUGAUAAGCAAAUUCAUCCAUUACGUUGUCUUCAACAAGGUAAUCCACAUCAUCCAAGUUUGAGUAUGCUAUUCUACCGACCCCCUCCAAACGAUCACUCGAGAAUUGACUUAGGCUGGUUUAAAGAGUUUCAAUGAUCUCUGAAUCAAAAGUAAUUCUUUUUGCCACUUAAGGGGAUAUCUCUACGAGUCACCUUCCCUAAGGUGUAUCGUUAUGGUAUCAUGGCAACUCAACUCCUCGCUACGUUGACAAUCGUUUACCACCUUCUUAAGCGUGAAAUUGUUGUCUACCUAGUGAACCUUCGUCAUCCGUCUCUUUCCACCCCUCUUGAUGUGUAUCUCGUGUUUCAACCGAGAGAUGGUUCUAUGUCUCAUUCCGUGAGUUAAUCCUGAGUUGUUCGAUCUUCUAGAAGAUCGACCCUUCUAGAGUGUCCUUCUUCUCUCCAUGUUAUGUUGGCAGGAUUUCUCAGAGCAAGACGACAAGACAAAGAUGGUGACUGAAUCAACGUUCAUUUGAAGUGCAACCUGGAUCGUGAAGAUUGUGCUAGUUUGCGAUUCCCCUUCAUCCUACCCUACGCUUGAAUCUCGAGACGAGAUUCUUGUUUAGUGGGGGUGAGUUGUCACAUCCCUAGCUUCUGGUAAUGCACUAGGCUAGACCUCUUGUGAGCAUCAUGUUUUAUUUCAAAUGAAAUUUGAAUUGAGGAUUUUUCAAAGCCUCAGAAACCUCAAAAAAAUAACCAACAAUUAAAUCUUCUCAAAUGUGUCCAAGAAAAUGUUCCUGUUAUUCCAUGGAAAUAUUGGUGAGAGGGAAAAUUUAAACCAAUAUUUUUGGAGUCACAGAGAUAAUUAUUUUGGUCAUUUGUUUUAAUCCAAUAACUAUUUGCUUUGGAUUUAUAUUUAAUAUAUAUUAAAUAUGACUCCAAUAAUUCUGGAAGUUUGUGAGUGGCUUUGUAUAUAUUUUAGCAAGCCACAUAAAAAUCUACAGAAUUUAUUUAAAUGAUUUAGUUGCUAAACUAAAUCAAAACAAAUUAUAGAAAAUAGAAAACAGUAAAUAAAAAUAAAAGAACAGAAGCCUACCUGGCGCUUACCUGUCCAGCCCAGCCGGCCCAGCUCCUCCCGCUGGCCCAGCCCACCACCGCCUCCCUCCCCUGUCGCCUUCCUCCUCUGCCAAGAGGACGGGCACGCGCCCGGCGCGCGCGGCCACACGCCCCGGCCACCUCCUCCCUGCCUGGCUGCCUCCUCCUCCCCUGGUCCCUCCCGCGAUGCCACGCAGCCCCCGACCCCUCCUCUCACUUCCCCUCUCCCUCUGGAUCGCUCCCCCUCCCCUGGCUCUCUCUUUCCCUCUCUUCUUGUGAUCCCCGAGCGCACCGCAGCACGCCGCCAAGCACCACCGCGGCCACCGCUUUCCCCUCGCCUCUCCGACGCGCCCCCGAGCUCCGCCGUGACGUUCCCGUCCCUACCACGGAGCCACAAGACGCCGGACGCCCUGGAGCACCGUCACCGACGCCAUCUUCUUCCUCUGCACCGACGGCCGUUGUCGCUUGAUUCGCCGGCCACAGAGCGUCCCCGGCCUCGCCCUCGCGCUCGUUGGACUCGCGGUGAGCCACUGAACCGUUCCCCUCUUCUUCCCAUGCCGUUGGGCCGCUCUAGCCAUUGCUUCCGCCGGACCCGAGAGCUCGCCGCCGCCGUGCCUCGUCACCACCGUGGCUGGAGCCGUUGCAGCUCGAAGCCGAGCACACCACCGCACUCAACACGUCUCCAGGAGCCCGUAGCCGCCACUAGCUUCCCCUCCCGUGCCCCCGAACGCCAACCCCGACCUCGCCCGAGCUCCGGCCGCCGCCUCGCUCGCCGCCGUUGCUGAUUCCGGCCACCCCCGCACCUUCCGUUGGUCCCCCUAGAUGCGCACGGGCGCGGGCUACCUCCUGGUGCCCUUGGCGCAUCGAUCCGAUGCCCCUAGUGCAAGUCCGGCGUGCCCCGCCGUGUCGUGUGGUCGCCGUCGGCUGGUCUCCCGUGACGCCGACGUGGCGCACUUACUUAGUCGCUAAUGACCAUGCUAAACACCCCCACAGACACUGACAGCGGGCCCCGUAGCGGGUCAAAGCCCGAGUCAACGCGGGAUUAGCCCCUGUGUCACUGACGUGUGGACCCCACACGUCAGGUUUGACCCUGACCGGCCCGGUUGACCCUGCUGACGUCACUGUGACGUGGUGCUGACGCCAUAAUCAUUUCUGGAUUUAAUUUAAUUCUGAAAUUCCAGAAAAUGCCUAAAACUUCAAUAAAUCAUAGAAAAUUAACCGUAGCUCCAAAUUAAAUAAUUUAUAUAUGAAAAAUUAUCAGAAAAAUUCAAGGAAUCCAUCUGUACCAUUUUCAUGCAUGUUAGAACAACUUAUCACUACUGUUUAGGACAAAUGAAGUGAAUGACAUUUAAAUAACCACAUAUGGAGUUUGAAUUUGAAUCUUGGAUUCAAACCAACUUCAUUUAAUCUGGUUUUAGGUGCAUUAGCCCAAAACACAUUCAUUUUGCCAUGUCAUGAUCAUGCAUCAUAUUGUGCAUUGCAUUGAUUGUGUUCCCUUCUGUGUUGCCGGUAUUUGUCCCCUCUCGAUAGACGUGAUACCGAUGAUGUGAUCGUUGACACCGAUGAAGACUCAAUGUUAUCUUCAGAAGUGCCAGGCAAGCAAAACGCCCUUGUUCAUUCCGAUAAAAUCCCACUCUCUCGCUCCUGCUCUCUUUUACUGCAUUAGGACAACAACAACAUAUUUGAUACUUGCUGCGGUAGCUGAACCCCUUUAUCCUUUGCAUGACCUGUCAUUGCCACAGUAAAUAGAUGAAACCCACUAGCAUGAGUAGGAGUUGUUUGAGCCCUGAUGUGCCUACUCAAUCAUGUUUGUUCGUCAUGCCUGCUACUGCUUAGAGUUGAGUCAGGUCUGAUUCAUCGGGGAUGAAUCAGAGGCGUGUGAACAUGUCCUACUGUGUGUGAACUAAGUGUGUGAACACGAUUUGGUAAAGGUAGCGGUGAGAGGCCAUGUAGGAGUACAUGGUGGGUUGUCUCAUUGCAACCGUCCUCAGGAACUGAGUUCUGUGUUUGUGAUCGAUGAACAGCUACUACCACACAUUGGGAUCCUUAAUUGACUCUCUCGACUUAUUAAUCAACAUGAUCUCUGUCCAGGAGUUGCAACUAGUUUCUGGUGUUUGUAGGUAGUGUUAGUAGUCUACCAAGUGGAACCCGGUACAGGUGGGCUUGGGACAGACUAGGCACAGUGGCCCGGUGUACCAAGUGGCACCCGGUUGGUGGGCUUGGGAACCCUGCACACAUCGUUUGGGGCCGUAAGCGACACCCCGGCCGGAUCUCCUUGCGGAUGGAACCCGAAUAGGCGAUAAACCUGGACUAGAGACUUGUUCGGUUAGUCAGGUCGUGGCCGACUCCCUCGCCCGGCUUCCGCUUGAAGGUUGCUGAGGUACAUGACGUGUACAGGGCGGUAAGUGGCGGGAGCGUGUGUGAAGAAGUACACCCCUGCAGGGUUAUCAUUAUCUAUUCGAAUAGCCGGAUUCCUCGGAUAUGGAAACUUGGACCCCUUGCAUAGUUCAUAGACAAGUGAAAGUGGAUACUCUAAAAUACGCAAGAUAAGCGUGAGUGCUAUGGAUGGCGUUCUCGUAGGGAGACGGGAGCGGAUCCAUAGUGGUGUAUUGAUAUGGUGAAUAUGUGGACUCAUGUGCGCCACCUCAAAAGAGUUACUUGCAGUCGUAGUUCAGGAUAGCCACCGAGUCAAAGCUGGCUUGCUGCAGUUAAACCCCUCCAUCCCCUUUGUUGAUAAUGAUGCAUAUGUAGUUAGUUCUGAUGUAAGUCUUGCUGGGUACAUUUGUACUCACGUUUGCCUAUUUUAUGUUUUUGUAGAGAGACUUCGGUCUCGCUAGUAGUUUCACGUGGACUUCGACGUUUAGCUUGUUACCUCAGCUACGAUCUUGUGCCCUCGGCAGGAUCUGAUAGAUAGUCAGGCUUCUCAGCCUUUUUCAUUUAUAGAUGUCUGUACUCAGACAUGAUAGCUUCCGCUUGUGCUUUGACUGGUAUGCUCUGAAUGUUGGGUCGUGAGACCCCUGUUUGUAAUAUCUCGCUCCUCGGAGCCUAUUGAAUAAAUUACUUGAGUCGUAGAGUCAUGUUGUGAUGUCGUGUUGUAGUUGCACAUAUCGAGAAUAUUGUGUGUAUGUUAUUGAAAUGCUUGGUAUGUGUGGGAUCUGACCAUCUAGUUGUUUAUCUUUAGUAGUCUCUCUUACGGGGAAAUGUCUCCUAGUGUUUCCACCGAGCCAUGGUAGCUUGCUACUGCUCCGGAACACUUAGGCUGGCCGGCAUGUGUCCUUCUUCGUUCCUGUGUCUGUCCCUUCGGGGAAAUGUCACGCGAUGAAUACCGGAGUCCUGUUAGCCCGCUACAGCCCGGUUCACCGGAGUCCUGCUAGCCCAGUGCUACAGCCUGGUUUCACUCGCUGAUGACCGACACGUUCGAUGCUGGGUCAUGGAUGCCUGUCCCUGUAAGUCUGUGCCACUUUGGGUUUACGACUAGCCAUGUCAGCCCGGGCUCCUUAUCAUAUGGAUGCUAGCGACACUGUCAUAUACGUGUGCCAAAAGGCGCAAACGGUCCCGGGCUAAGGUAAGGCAACACCCGUGGGAGUACCGUGCGUGAGGCCGCAAAGUGAUAUGAGGUGUUACAUGCUAGAUCGAUGUGGCAUUGAGUCAGGGUCCUGACACAGCGCCACCAUCUUCUUCUCCUUCCCCGAAUCCACCAUCAUCCAUCCACAUCACGGCCACCAGCACCACAACGCUUCCCCGCACCUCGCGCCCCUACUACUCUUCUUCUUCUCCUACGCCUUGCUACUGCUCCUUCUUCCCUCGCCUUGCUGCUGCUCCUCCACUUCUCAACUCGAACUAGCUGCUCCUCUUCCCUGCUGUUCUUCUUCCCUCGCCUUGCUGCCGCUUCUCUCCUCACGCCCCCUACUGCUGCUCCCUUCCCUACCUUGCUGCUGAUGCUCUCUUUCUCCCUCUCUAUCUUCUCUGAAUUUUCUGUAAUAGGAGAUGUGUAAUGCUUUGUAAUAUUCAGAUUUUAAGAGUGCUGGCAACCUGUAGCUUGUUCUAUUUGGUAGUUGUAAUAUAUAAUGCUUGACUUGUAUUUCUGAAGGCUGUGAGAAUUAAUUGUCCUAGAAAUCUUGCUCUGUGAUUGAGUAAUCUGCUAGUAUAAUUGUGUGUUCACCUUGUUUACUAGUCCCUGUGCUAGUUAACUUUGCACGUGUUUGAUUUUCAGUCCUUGUGUUAGCUCCAACACGUGUGAUAUAUAUAUACAUGUGUGUGUGCCUGUGAUGUGAUAUGUUCAUGUUCUGUCCUAAAACCUUGUUUCUUC
rnacentral:lncRNA from 1 species